GUUGAACGCUGGCGGCGUGCCUUAUACAUGCAAGUCGAGCGAAAAGACGAGGCGCUUGCCUCACUGACGUUAGAGGCGGAAGGGUUAGUAACAAGUGGACAACCUACCUAUAAGACUGUGAUAAAUUCGGGAACUCGGAGCUAAUACGGGAUAUUGUAGAAAACCGCAUGGUUUAAUAGUGAAAGCCGUUUUUGCUGCCACUUUUAGAUGAAUUCGGGCCGCAUUAGCUAGUUGGUCAGGUAAAGGCUUACCAAGUGAACGAUCCGUAGCCGAACUGAGAGGGUGAUCAGCCAAACUGGAACUGAGACACGGUCCAGACUCCUACGGGAGGCAGCAGUAGGGAAUCUUCCGCAAUGGGCGAAAGCCUGACGGAGCAAUGCCGCGUGAAUGAAGAAGGUCUUCGGAUCGUAAAAUUCUGUUAUUAGGGAAGAACAAAUUUUGAAGUAUCUAUGCGCGUCUUGACGGUACCUUAUCAGAAAGCAACGGCUAACUACGUG
rnacentral:rRNA from 1 species